GCUGGGCAUGGUGGCACAUGCCUGUAAUCCCAGUGGCUUGGGAGGCUGAGGCAGGAGGAUGGUGAGUUCAAAGACAGCUUCAGUAACUUAGUGUGGCUCUAAGCAACUCAGCAAGACCAUGUCUCUA
rnacentral:sRNA from 1 species